UCCAGGUUAAAUUCGCUUCAGCAAAAAGCAUAACCAAUGAAUGAAGUAGCAGCUGGAAGUCCAAAGGCACAGCAUGAAAUUGCUGUAUGAACAGUUGUACUCUAUGGAUAUGAGAACAGAAGAAGUUGAAAUGUGGGCAUGUCAGAGGAUGCGCAGAAUCAGCUAGAUGGACAGAAGGACAAAUAGUAGAUCAGAUAAGGAGUAAAUAUUCAGAAAUCAAACCAGUUGCUAAGUACAGUUGCAAUGAGAAAGUUAACCAAGUAUCGACAUUAUAGAUCCAACUGUCUUGGCCUGGCAUCCGUUAAAGGAGAAAUUGAGGGUAGAAGCAAACUAGAAAGAGGAAAUAUUGGAUGACUGAAUAACAUUUAGAAAUGGACUGAAAGAGACGUGAAAAAAGCCAUAAAAGAAACAAGGAAAUGCUAAUGGUCCCACUGAGACUGUAGGGAGAACAAGCAAGGCUAUUCAUGCUCUAUCCUCUACUUUCACUUUCACAUCUGCUAGGACUAUGAUUGCAAGAUUUUUCUCAUGCACUGUUGAAGAUUCAUUGUCUGGUUGCAAACCCACAGCAGACCACCGGCAGGGAAUAGUUGCAAUGUAACAGAUACACAGCAGUGGAGUCCAUAAAGGUGAACUCUCUUCAAGGCAAGGUCCCUGAGGACAUUGGACGGCAGUGACUUCUGAAACUGGAAAUCAAUGCCGCAAAUAUAUGAAAACACCGAUUGCAAU